rnacentral:lncRNA from 1 species
CCUGAGGUUGGAGGGAGAUUGAGGGUGGGAAACACCCCUCUGUCCCCCAGGAACCCUGCAGCUGUCCCAGGGAGGGUUAAAGGAAAUCACUCUGAGCAGGGUGGCCGGGACUUGCUGCAUGGCGGGACAGAGACUAAUUGCAGGGGGACAGGGUGGGUGCAGAUGAAGCAGCUGCAGGUUCUUUUAGGGGGGGCAGAAGGAGAGGCAUUGAUAUGGUUAAUUUUAUAUGUCAACUUGACUGGGCCACGGGGUGCCCAGCUCUUUGGUUAAACGUCAUUCUGGUGGGUCUGUGAAGAUGUUUUUGGGUGAGAUUUGUGUUUAAAUUGGUGGACUGAGCAAAGCAGCUUGCUCUCCCCAAUGUGGGUGGGCCUUACCCAGUCAGUCGAAGGCCUGACUAGACUGCCCCUGAGUGAGCGGGAAUUCUUCCCAUCUGCCUGCCUUCCAGAUGGGACAUCUGCUUUUCCUGCUUUCGGACUUGAGUAGAAACAUGGACCGUUCCUGGGCCUCGAAGCUGCCGGCUGCAGACCGUGGGAAUUCUCAGCCUCUGUAGUUGCAUGAGCCAGUCGCUUUAACAAACCUCUUUGUAUAUUUACACACAUGCACCCUACUGGUGCCAUACCUCUGGAGAACCCUGACUCACGCAGGCGUCAGUGGGUGACAAAUGCCGGGCUCCCUGUGGGAGCUGAGGGUUGCUCUAACGGAGAUGCAGGGCCUGGGGUGAAGCACACGACCGCCCCAGCUUUUCCCACUGGACCUGCCACCGGUGGAGCUCAGAUCUCAAGCUGGACUUUGAAGCGCAGUGACAUAGCUAUUGACAGGCGCGAAGGCGGCCAUCGACUCCGGGGCGCGUGCUCACGGCCAGGCCGCCGUGUGACAUGAUGAAGUGGCAGAUCACCGGCCACGUUCUCCGACAAGUGAUUGUUUCAGCGAGAAUGAGAAAUAACGAUCGGGGCCAGAAGCGGAUUAUUAAGAAAGACUUCCAGUGACUUCGCAGAUCAUUGUGGCUGUUCUAAUAAUCGAGCCUCCCAAGGAGAUGCGGCUCUCCCGCGGCAUUAUUUUCCCCGACAGACAUCCUGGUGGAAGGGCGGGAGCUGG